GACGAACGCUGGCGGCGUGCCUAAUACAUGCAAGUAGAACGCAGUUUCGAACGGGUGAGUAACGCGUAGGUAACUUCCUCAUAGCGGGGGAUAACUAUUUGAAACGAUAGCUAAUACCGCAUACUGUGAGAUGGACCUGCUUUUUAUUGGCUAGUUGGUGGGGUAAAGGCUCACCAAGGCGACGAUACAUAGCCGACCUGAGACGGUGAUCGGGCACAAUGGGACUGAGACAAGGCCCAGAAUCCUACGGGGGGGAGCAGUAGGGAAUCUUCGGAAAUGGACGGAAGUCUGAACGAGCAACGCCGCGUGAGUGAAGGAGGGUUUCGGAUCGUAAAGCUCUGUUGUUAGAGAAGCGGUAACUAAACAGAAAGGGACGGCUAACUACGUGCCAGCAGCCGCGGUAAUUC
rnacentral:rRNA from 1 species